rnacentral:rRNA from 1 species
UGGGGAAUAUUGGACAAUGGGCGAAAGCCUGAUCCAGCCAUGCCGCGUGUGUGAAGAAGGUCUUCGGAUUGUAAAGCAUUUUAAGUUGGGAGGAAGGGCAGUAAGCGAAUACCUUGCUGUUUUGACGUUACCGACAGAAUAAGCACCGGCUAACUCUGUGCCAGCAGCCGCGGUAAUACAGAGGGUGCAAGCGUUAAUCGGAAUUACUGGGCGUAAAGCGCGCGUAGGUGGUUCGUUAAGUUGAAUGUGAAAGCCCCGGGCUCAACCUGGGAACUGCAUCCAAAACUGGCGAGCUAGAGUAGGGCAGAGGGUGGUGGAAUUUCCUGUGUAGCGGUGAAAUGCGUAGAUAUAGGAAGGAACGCCAGUGGCGAAGGCGACCGCCUGGGCUCAUACUGACACUGAGGUGCGAAAGCGUGGGGAGCAAACAGG